GACGGGGCCCGCACAAGCGGUGGAGCAUGUGGUUUAAUUCGAAGCAACGCGAAGAACCUUACCAGGCCUUGACAUGCAGAGAACUUUCCAGAGAUGGAUUGGUGCCUUCGGGAACUCUGACACAGGUGCUGCAUGGUUGUCGUCAGCUCGUGCCGUGAGGUGUCGGGUUAAGUCCCAUAACGAGCGCAACCCCUACCUUUAGUUGCCAUCAGGUUAAGCUGGGGACUCUAAAGGAACUGCCUACGCAAGUAGUGAGGAAGGCGGGGAUGACGUCAAAUCAGCACGGCCCUUACGUCCAGGGCUACACACGUGCUACAAUGGCCGGUACAGAGGGCAGCUACCUGGUGACAGGAUGCAAAUCUCCAAAGUCGGUCUCAGUUCGGAUCGGAGUCUGCAACCCGACUCCGUGAAGUUGGAUUCGCUAGUAAUCGCGCAUCUGCCAUGGCGCGGUGAAUACGUUCCCGGGCCUU
rnacentral:rRNA from 1 species